rnacentral:tRNA from 1 species
GGAAUGUGGCUCAAGUGGUAGCGCACUUGCCUAAUAUGCAGGAAGCACUAGGUUCGAUUCUCAGCACCA